rnacentral:sRNA from 1 species
UCAAAGAUAAAGAAAAAC